AGAGGAGGGCAGGGUCUGCUCUCUGACCACUGCUGUGUAAUACAGGGAGAGAGGCUAAACGGUGCUCUCAUGCAUGGGUGGGCACCAUGUGAGGGUGGACGCCAUCAUGGGUGGGUGCGGUCCAAAGGGGGCAUGCGCUAUGUUUUAGGCGGAGGAGGAAAUUUAAACAUUGUUCUUUCUCCAUCUUUUCUGCACGCUCUAUCUUUUAAUUUUUUGAAAACUAAAGACAGACAAGAGGAUUCAGAGGACUUGGAAAUGGCUGCCUGGCCGUAGGGGAUCGGCCCUCACCUGUGACAUCCCACUCCUUCAACUGUGCCUUGGCUCCCGUGAAAGCUUGCUCGUGGCAUCUUCCUUCCAUCGCAUGCAGUGGGAGUUAGUAAGGACUCUCCCCUCUGUGCUGCUGGAGGUACGUGAGGUCUGGGCAGAGGCAGGUAUGGAAAUCCACAAACAAUGGAUGCAACUGCAAGUGAGAACAGGCCAUUCGGACUGAAGGUGACCUUGGAGAAGGUUCUGCGAAGCCUGGCUCAUUUCCAGCCGACUGAGGAAAAGCAGGAGACUGUAUCGGUCAACAGCGGAAGUCCUCAGCUCAGCUAGAGACAGUGUUCCAGCUGCAGUCUGUUACCAGUGUUCUUCAGUCCCUCCUUUUCUCUGUGCCAGCACAGACAGACGGAGCUAAGUGACAAGGGUCUGCGCCACCCCAGGUCACAGUCACUUGUGCUCUCACCGCCCGUGUAGAUGGGGAUGCGAGGCAAGAGAGCUCCUGCAGAGGGGGCAUAGCCUUUGGUUCGAGUGGAGAGCUGUUCUUUGAAAUCUUUUCAUGCCAAAGAGAAGGGAUACAACAGAGUGCCGGCCACCAUGUCCACGCUCUCAGAAAGAGGAAUGUUCUGGAAGCAAAGCAUGGCCUGAGUGGCUCUCGAGAUGUGAGCUCAGCUAAACUAAGACUUACUUCAUCCUUCAGACCUGCAGCCUCGGAGCUUCAGAGUGAGGCCUUGAAUGGCCCCACCAAUGGGAUAAAGAAAUAAUUGCUGGUGAUUUCAGUUGCCCUGUAGGUGAGGGAUCAAUAUAUCAGAGAGGACUGCUUACCAAACUUUGUACAGGAGUCUGGAAAUUUUGACUGUGUCUCCGAAGUGUGUAACAGUUAAUAGAUAGCAGAAUGUGAGCCUCUGUGUGGAUGGGUUUCUAUGCCCUUGGGAAUCCUGCGAGAUAAAUCUGUUUUCUCUUUUUAUUAUAAGACUUUUGUCACCAGCUGCACUUGAGUUUUCAUACAGAGAAACCCCCAAAUCACACCGCAUGAAGUGUCACAAAUCACACACGCGAUCUGUAGCCAUGCGUGACAAAGGGACCUCGGUUCAGCACUGAAGUUCUGCAGAAAGGCAUUUCACCUUAUCUCCUCAGAUCUUAUAUUUUUUUUCCUCAAGCCCUCAUUUCCAUUAUAUUCAUUUUCGGAGUGGCACAUGGAGGUAACAUUUUUCCAUAGCCAAUUAUCUUGGGCCGAUCUCCGGCUCUUUCCUUACUCCUUCACAAAAUGCAGGCAGUAGCUGAUGCUAUGUUUCACUCAAAUUAUCCGUUGCUGUAACGCAGGAUUUAAAGCAUGUGCCUGGUUUUUAUUGACUAGGCUUAUUUCUUGUCAUUGUCUGUUCCCUUACCAUGACCUGAUCGACUAUUCUAAUAAAGAGGUUCUAGCAUUCUCUUUUCAAUACGUC
rnacentral:lncRNA from 1 species